CCUACGGGUGGCAGCAGUGAGGAAUAUUGGUUAAUGGGCGGAAGCCUGAACCAGCCAAGCCGCGUGAGGGAUGAAGGUACAGAGUAUCGUAAACCUCUUUUGUCAGGGAACAAAGGCGGGGACGUGUCCCCGGAUGAGUGUACCUGAAGAAAAAGCAUCGGCUAACUCCGUGCCAGCAGCCGCGGUAAUACGGAGGAUGCGAGCGUUAUCCGGAUUUAUUGGGUUUAAAGGGUGCGCAGGCGGUCUGUUAAGUCAGCGGUCAAAGCCAGGGGCGCAACCCCAGCCCGCCGUUGAAACUGGCAGUAUAGAGUGGGAGAGAGGUAUGCGGAAUGCGCGGUGUAGCGGUGAAAUGCAUAGAUAUCGCGCAGAACUCCGAUUGCGAAGGCAGCAUGCCGGCUCCACACUGACGCUGAGGCACGAAAGCGUGGGUAUCGAACAGGAUUAGAUACCCCGGUAGUC
rnacentral:rRNA from 1 species